UCUCAGAUAGCCGAACUGGUAAAGUCUCGGGCGCGCAACUAGAUGAGUCGGGUUCGAGCCCCGGUCUGUCCGAA
rnacentral:tRNA from 1 species